UUGUCAAGACCCUUCCACUGCAUCUCGAUCCAUAUCACCGGAACACAGGCCACCGGAACACAGGCCACCAGAAUACAGGCCACCGGAACACAGGCCACCAGUCAACGUUCAGUCCUACUGUCUGGAGAAGGGAGAUUUAAGUGAGACAAUUUGCUAGGAUAGCAGAGCGAAUCAUUAUAAGGUAAAGAGUAACAAGAUAGUAUUUGAAGACUCAAACAAGCUUCUGUGUUGACCCUGACAAAAUACAUCUCAGAAGAUUUUACUUCAGUGAUGCCGGACUUUUCUUUAUCACAGCUGAUUCUCCAGCCCUAGCUAACCAGAAUCACAUAUUCUCAAAUAAAAAUAUCACU